UUUGUUGAUUUUUUUUCUUUUGUUGUUUGUGCUUUUGGUAUCAUGCUCUCCCAAAUUGUUUCCAAGACCAAUAUCGAUGAGCUUCUUCCCUACAUUUUCCUCUAGGAUUUUUAUGGUAUCAAGGCUUAUGUUUAAGUCUUCAUUCCAUUUUGAGUUAAUUUUUGUAACUAGUGUGAGAUAGGGAUCCACUUUCAUUCUUUUACAUGUGACUA